AACGAACGCUGGCAGCAUGCCUAACACAUGCAAGUCGAACGAGAUCUUCGGGUCUAGUGGCGCACGGGUGCGUAACGCGUGGGAAUCUGCCCUUUGGUUCGGAAUAACAGUUGGAAACGACUGCUAAUACCGGAUGAUGACGAAAGUCCAAAGAUUUAUCGCCAGAGGAUGAGCCCGCGUAGGAUUAGCUAGUUGGUGUGGUAAAGGCGCACCAAGGCGACGAUCCUUAGCUGGUCUGAGAGGAUGAUCAGCCACACUGGGACUGAGACACGGCCCAGUCUCCUACGGAAGGGAGCAGUGGGGAAUAUUGGACAAUGGGCGAAAGCCUGAUCCAGCAAUGCCGCGUGGGUGAUGAAGGCCUUAGGGUUGUAAAGCUCUUUUACCCGGGAUGAUAAUGACAGUACCGGGAGAAUAAGCUCCGGCUAACUCCGUGCCAGCCGCCGCCGUAA
rnacentral:rRNA from 1 species